rnacentral:lncRNA from 1 species
CCACCCCCACCUCCUCAGUGACCCCCCAAGUGGGCAACCGCUGUGGCAGUGGGUCCGGCCCAGACAGACACUGCCAGCCUCCCCUCCCUGCAGUGGGCACCAGCUCUACCUCCCCCAGCGGGGCAAUGCCCCGGCUCCUCAGCCCGGUAUCCUCUGUCCCCUAUGCUUCUCAGGGGCCAGCCCCAUCCGGGCCACCCUCUCCCUAGCCCUCAGCUCCCGCGCAAGUGACAGGCCCAGGCAGAUCGCUGCUCUCUGGGAAAGGUUGGAUGCUGCCUUAUUUAUGCCCUCUUCCAGCCCCCCUUUCCCUCACUCAUGUGCACAGGUACCUACCACCCCCCAGUCAGCUUGUUUCUCACCACAUCUAGGGAGAGGGGGAGACCGACCCCUUAGUGUCUUUUGAAAUACGGAGAAAAAUGUUUGUUCAGGAGCAUGGCUCCAGUGCUGGACUCUUGGGCCCGGUUCAGUCUGUCUCGUCUCAGAUCUAGGCAUUUUUGCUUCAAUUUUAUUUUUUUUAAGGAAACAAAAACAAAACUCUGCACUAAUUUACCUGGUUUCGUAGGAAAACUUUUUUUUUAUUUUUUACAUUUUUUGGUGUCCGUUUGUAUUGAAUAAUUUGCUACAUUUGUAAAAUGUAAGAGGUAUAUAUAAUAUAUGUAUAUUUCUAACGUAAAAAACGUAAUUUUUUUCUUUUCAAGAUUUUUUCUUAAGAGGAGAGAAACGAUAUUUUUUCAGGAAAAACAAACUUUAAAAUAAAAAAAGAGGAGAAUUAAACCUAUUUCUCCCCUUUCCCCAUCCUCUCUCUGUCUGUCCCUCUUUCCCAGGAAUAAAUCAAAAGGUAGAUCGUCUUGUAAAGAAUGUAAACUCUUAGUCCAGAAUGAUGUAUUUUUCUCGAUGCAGUGAGCUAUAGAUUCUCUAGUUUGACCCCUAGGGAUGGGAAGGAGGGCAUUGAGGCAACGUGGAGAGGAGCUUGGGGGAGCAGGGUAAUGAACUUGUUUUCUUUAGUGAAGGAGGAAUACAAUCAAGCGUUUUGUAUUCAGAAUGUUGUGCAAUAUUUUGGAAUGGGACAUUGGUGUGUUUAGAGAUUUAGUUUAAAAACAAAACAAAAAGAUUGAUCAAAUCUGUACAGUUUAUAUUGUUCCAGAUUUUUUUAAGUUUGUAUUAAAAGCAUGAUAUAUAAUA